AUCCGCCCUCCCCAGGGGCCCGUCCCCGCCUCUGGGGCUGUCCCAGCGCUGCUCCCCACCGGGACAGCAUCGAUCCCGAGGGACGGCGCUGCCCCCGCUGCCAUCCCAAAUCAGCCGCGAGGAUGCCGCGGACGCUGCGCCAAAGCCCCGCCGGAGCCAAGGGGCUUCAGGCUGGAUUUUGUGGGAAUCUGGAAGCUGGCAGGAGCCGCGUCUCUGGGAUUCUGUCUGAAGCUGGGGCUGUUACUCUGCUGCCUUGUGUUCAGGUAGGAUGGACUUGGGAACGUGCUGAUUGUGUGAAAAUGGAAGAGAAAGGGGGGGGGGAAGGAGAAACCUGGGGGAAAAUGGAUUUUAGUGAUGCCUGCACCACGUCGGGGAGCACAUUUGGAGCUGGUUACCCUCUGCAGCACGUGGCCAAGGCAAACACCGCCAGCCCAGCCAGCUUUGGCUGCGUGCUUGCCAUAAACCCUUGCAAGGGCAUCCAGACUAGCACAGCCCUGGAGCCGCUUCCAGGAUUAGGCCUUACUCCCUUGAAAAAUAAACCUUGGCAGGAGUUCCGUUCUCCCCAAUAAAAAUUCCGUUUUCACAGCUCCAAUCAAGUUUUCCAGAGCCGUGCUCCAAACGAGAAACUGCACACAGAAUCCCUGACCCGGGAGAAGGAGAUGGAGCCCUGCAUUCGGGGCUGUGCCAGGCUGGAAAUUUCCAAAGUUCUGGGUGUCCCAGCCAUGGCAGAGCCCCGGAGUGUCCCAGGAAAUCUGUCCUGGCACAGCAAAGCUCUGCCACGACCAAAUCCCUGCUCCCAGGUGGGUGAGGCUGCUCUGCAGGGAGAGCUGGCAUUGCCCAGCCUGGAGAGGAGAAGAGAAGGUUCUGGAAUAUCUCAGAGCCCUUUGUAGGGCCUGAAGGGGCUCCAGGAGAGCUGGAGAGGGACUGGGGAUGAGGGAUGGAGGGACAGGACACAGGGAACGGAUUCCAAAUGGAAAAUGGGAAAUUUGGGUGGGGUUUUGGGAAGGAAUUGCUCCCUGUGAGGGUGGGCAGGGGCUGGGACGGAAUUCUCAGAGAGGCUGGGGCUGCCCCUGGAUGUUCCUGGAUGUUCCAUGGAAGAGGACAAUUCCUGAAUUCCGUGAUUCCAUGAACUCGUCCAUUGGGCUUGUCUGUGAAAGGAGGAGCCACACCACGCUUGAUCUCUGUGUCUGAAGAUGCUCAGGAAAAAAACCCCAGGUGAGGUUGGGGCUGGAAUGCUCCAUUGGGCUCCCAGUUGUGGCAGCACGCUGGAUUCCGUGGCACCAGGGGUUACGGAACACCUUUUAUGGAGCUCUUGGCAGGAGAACGUGUUAAAAUAACAGAUGUGGCAAAUGACAACCACGUUCUGAGAGCUCGCUGCAGCUCGGGUGUGUGAAAACAAUGGGCUGGGUUUAAAUUGCUUUGAGUAUUUUUGGUUUUUUUCCCCAAGAAAACCUCCAUGGGUAAAGAAAUGGUUGAAAGAGGGGGAAAAAGGCUGAAAGUGCAGGUGGGGGUUUGCCUAAAGGAGCUGAGAUGGGGAGGAGGGUUGAGCCUUGGAGAGCUCCUUGGUGC
ensembl:lncRNA